UUUAGAAGGAAGAACUGUUUCAGUCUACUUUGAUUUCAAGUUACCAUGGUUUAUCAAUGAUUCUAAAGGUCCUCAAAUGUGUUGUCCGGCAGAUGCUCCUCUAGCUAUGAAGGACAAGUUGGCUCUUAAAAAAACAUGGCUGACAAAGGAUUCAGGAACAGUAACUGGAUUCCAAAGAGGAUGAUGGAAAAAAGAAGAAGAAAAGAAAACUUUUACAUACCACUGGAUCCCCUGAGGGAGGAAAAACCCAAAACCAAAAUAAAGAAAGAGCUAAGAAGAAAUCACUGGAGAUUGAUUUUCCAAGUGGAAAAGGGGAGGAUGGUGUUUUGAAGCAUAUCCAUCCAACCAUCCAUCUAUCCAUCUGGCUGUGUGACUUAUAUUCUUGAUCUUCUGAUUUGCCUGUUGCUAAUCAACUGUCUGCUCAGCUGCUGCCCAUAUUUCCUGCUAUCUGAAUACAUUUUUGCAGCAUCCUUUUAGAGGAACAGCCUUACGAUUUGAUGUCUUAUGAAGCCACUCUUUUGUUUGCAGAGAAAGGAAUCAGUCAGUCGCGGAGAAUGAAUGCCAUGACCCACCAACCACCAUACUUAUUAGCAGACCCCCAUGGAAACAAAAAGAAUGGCAUGGAAAGGGAGUCUGUCCAGGUUGGUGUGCAGUGGAGAUAGAUGGUGGCCUGUAGAAAUGUAAUUGCCUGUCUUCCACAAGUGAAGAUGAAAAAGAGCUGCUUGUUACAGAUGGUUAUUGAUCAUCAGAAUUGCUGAGAUGACAAUGACAAAUCUUUCUAGUGACAAGCUCUGAUCAGUCUCAUGGUUAUUUUGUUGGACCUGCAUGUUUCCAUUUCUCUCAGAGCAAAGACAGUGGAAAGUAGGUAUGAUCAAUGUUUCUGUAAUCCAUUUCAACCUGGACCUGCAACAUAUCAGAGGGAUGUUCUAAUAAAUGUAUGGCCUUCCA